UUUUGGACAAUGGGCGCAAGCCUGAUCCAGCCAUUCCGCGUGAGUGAAGAAGGCCUUCGGGUUGUAAAGCUCUUUCGCAAGGGAAGAAAACUUACUUUCUAAUAAAGAGUGAGGUUGAUGGUACCUUGAUAAGAAGCACCGGCUAACUACGUGCCAGCAGUCGCGGUAAUACGUAGGGUGCGAGCGUUAAUCGGAAUUACUGGGCGUAAAGCGUGCGCAGGCGGCUUUGUAAGUCAGAUGUGAAAUCCCCGAGCUCAACUUGGGAACUGCGUUUGAAACUACAAGGCUAGAAUAUGUCAGAGGGGGGUAGAAUUCCACGUGUAGCAGUGAAAUGCGUAGAGAUGUGGAGGAAUACCAAUGGCGAAGGCAGCCCCCUGGGAGUAAUAUUGACGCUCAUGCACGAA
rnacentral:rRNA from 1 species